UCUCUGAUCAGUUAAUUGAUUUUUAAGCUUUUAUUUGAGCUUAAACAUUGGAAAUCUCUAGGGUUUUAUGGGUAUGUUCGAGUCAUUAUACGAAAUUUAAGCUUGUUUCUCAUCUUAUGCUAUAUUUCUGCUUUUUUUUUUCCCUCUUUUUGUGGUGGAAUAGCUCUCCUUAUUGUGAUAUUAGUUCUUAGUUUCAUGUACUCGUGUUUAAUCCAUGAUUCUAGUGGUUUUACACUGAUUCCUCAUUAUUGCAUUAUAAUUUCUCAUACUGAAAUUGAGUGUUGUGUUUAUCUCGUAAGGAAUUUGAUCAAUUUCAGUCAUAAUUUAAUAUUAAAUUUUAGACUUGCCAGAACUAUGAAAAAAAAUUAUGAAAUUUCAUCUUGAACUCUAUUUUGUUGUUACUCGUGAGAUUGUGCUCAACAUCAUCGUGAGAGCCUUUUCCCAACU
rnacentral:lncRNA from 1 species